rnacentral:rRNA from 1 species
UAAGCUUGCUUAAGUGGGUGGCGAGUGGCGGACGGGUGAGUAAUGCAUCGGGACCUACCCAGACGUGGGGGAUAACGUAGGGAAACUUACGCUAAUACCGCAUACGUCCUACGGGAGAAAGCAGGGGAUCUUCGGACCUUGCGCGGUUGGACGGACCGAUGUUCGAUUAGCUAGUUGGUAAGGUAAUGGCUUACCAAGGCGACGAUCGAUAGCUGGUCUGAGAGGAUGAUCAGCCACACUGGAACUGAGACACGGUCCAGACUCCUACGGGAGGCAGCAGUGGGGAAUAUUGGACAAUGGGCGCAAGCCCUGAUCCAGCAAUGCCGCGUGUGUGAAGAAGGCCUUAGGGUUGU